AAAUCGUACCCCAAACCGACACAGGUGGUCAGGUAGAGAAUACCAAGGCGCUUGAGAGAACUCGGGUGAAGGAACUAGGCAAAAUGGUGCCGUAACUUCGGGAGAAGGCACGCUGGUGUGUAGGUGAAGUCCCUGCGGAUGGAGCUGAGACCAGUCGAAGAUACCAGCUGGCUGCAACUGUUUAUUAAAAACACAGCACUGUGCAAACACGAAAGUGGACGUAUACGGUGUGACGCCUGCCCGGUGCCGGAAGGUUAAUUGAUGGGGUUAUCCGUAAGGAGAAGCUCUUGAUCGAAGCCCCGGUAAACGGCGGCCGUAACUAUAACGGUCCUAAGGUAGCGAAAUUCCUUGUCGGGUAAGUUCCGACCUGCACGAAUGGCGUAAUGAUGGCCAGGCUGUCUCCACCCGAGACUCAGUGAAAUUGAACUCGCUGUGAAGAUGCAGUGUACCCGCGGCAAGACGGAAAGACCCCGUGAACCUUUACUAUAGCUUGACACUGAACAUUGAGCCUUGAUGUGUAGGAUAGGUGGGAGGCUUUGAAGCGUGGACGCCAGUCUGCGUGGAGCCAACCUUGAAAUACCACCCUUUAAUGUUUGAUGUUCUAACGUUGGCCCCUUACCGGGGUUGCGGACAGUGUCUGGUGGGUAGUUUGACUGGGGCGGUCUCCUCCCAAAGCGUAACGGAGGAGCACGAAGGUUAGCUAAUCCUGGUCGGACAUCAGGAGGUUAGUGCAAUGGCAUAAGCUAGCUUGACUGCGAGCGUGACGGCGCGAGCAGGUGCGAAAGCAGGUCAUAGUGAUCCGGUGGUUCUGAAUGGAAGGGCCAUCGCUCAACGGAUAAAAGGUACUCCGGGGAUAACAGGCUGAUACCGCCCAAGAGUUCAUAUCGACGGCGGUGUUUGGCACCUCGAUGUCGGCUCAUCACAUCCUGGGGCUGAAGUAGGUCCCAAGGGUAUGGCUGUUCGCCAUUUAAAGUGGUACGCGAGCUGGGUUUAGAACGUCGUGAGACAGUUCGGUCCCUAUCUGCCGUGGGCGCUGGAGAAUUGAGGGGGGCUGCUCCUAGUACGAGAGGACCGGAGUGGACGCAUCACUGGUGUUCGGGUUGUCAUGCCAAUGGCACUGCCCGGUAGCUAAAUGCGGAAGAGAUAAGUGCUGAAAGCAUCUAAGCACGAAACUUGCCCCGAGAUGAGUUCUCCCUGAGACUUUAAGUCUCCUGAAGGAACGUUAAAGACGAUGACGUUGAUAGGCCGGGUGUGUAAGCGCAGCGAUGCGUUGAGCUAACCGGUACUAAUGAACCGUGAGGCUUAACCUU
rnacentral:rRNA from 2 species